rnacentral:rRNA from 1 species
CCUACGGGAGGCAGCAGUGGGGAAUAUUGCACAAUGGGGGAAACCCUGAUGCAGCAACGCCGCGUGAGUGAAGAAGUAUUUCGGUAUGUAAAGCUCUAUCAGCAGGGAAGAAAAUGACAGUACCUGACUAAGAAGCCCCGGCUAACUACGUGCCAGCAGCCGCGGUAAUACGUAGGGGGCAAGCGUUAUCCGGAUUUACUGGGGGGAAAGGGAGCGUAGACGGCUGCGCAAGUCAGAAGUGAAAGCCCGGGGCUCAACCGCGGGACUGCUUUUGAAACUGUGUAGCUAGAGUGCAGGAGAGGUAAGUGGAAUUCCUAGUGUAGCGGUGAAAUGCGUAGAUAUUAGGAGGAACACCAGUGGCGAAGGCGGCUUACUGGACUGUAACUGACGUUGAGGCUCGAAAGCGUGGGGAGCAAACAGGAUUAGAUACCCUGGUAGUC